rnacentral:rRNA from 1 species
AUUGAACGCUGGCGGCAGGCCUAACACAUGCAAGUCGAGCGGAUGAAGGGAGCUUGCUCCUGGAUUCAGCGGCGGACGGGUGAGUAAUGCCUAGGAAUCUGCCUGGUAGUGGGGGAUAACGUCCGGAAACGGGCGCUAAUACCGCAUACGUCCUGAGGGAGAAAGUGGGGGAUCCUCGGACCUCACGCUAUCAGAUGAGCCUAGGUCGGAUUAGCUAGUUGGUGGGGUAAAGGCCUACCAAGGCGACGAUCCGUAACUGGUCUGAGAGGAUGAUCAGUCACACUGGAACUGAGACACGGUCCAGACUCCUACGGGAGGCAGCAGUGGGGAAUAUUGGACAAUGGGCGAAAGCCUGAUCCAGCCAUGCCGCGUGUGUGAAGAAGGUCUUCGGAUUGUAAAGCACUUUAAGGUGGGAGGAAGGGCAGUAAGUUAAUACCUUGCUGUUUUGACGUUACCAACAGAAUAAGCACCGGCUAACUUCGU